rnacentral:rRNA from 1 species
ACGAACGCUGGUGGCGUGCUUAACACAUGCAAGUCGAACGGUGAAGCGCCUUCCUUUUUGGUGGGUGUGGAUGAGUGGCGAACGGGUGAGUAACACGUGAGUAACCUGCCCCCUUCUUCUGGAUAACCGCAUGAAAGUGUGGCUAAUACGGGAUAUUCUGGGUCUGUCGCAUGAUGGGUCUGGGAAAGAUAUUGUUUCGGUGGGGGAUGGGCUCGCGGCCUAUCAGCUUGUUGGUGGGGUGAUGGCCUACCAAGGCGGUGACGGGUAGCCGGCCUGAGAGGGUGGACGGUCACACUGGGACUGAGACACGGCCCAGACUCCUACGGGAGGCAGCAGUGGGGAUUAUUGCACAAUGGGCGCAAGCCUGAUGCAGCGACGCCGCGUGAGGGAUGGAGGCCUUCGGUUUGUGAACCUCUUUCGCCAGUGAAGCAGGCCUGCCUCGUUUGUGGGUGGGUUGACGGUAGCUGGAUAAGAAGCGCCGGCUAACUACGUG